rnacentral:rRNA from 1 species
ACUCAAAGGAAUUGACGGGGACCCGCACAAGCGGUGGAGCAUGUGGUUUAAUUCGAAGCAACGCGAAGAACCUUACCAAGUCUUGACAUCCCAUUGAAAAUCAUUUAACAGUGAUCCCUCUUCGGAGCAAUGGAGACAGGUGGUGCAUGGUUGUCGUCAGCUCGUGUCGUGAGAUGUUGGGUUAAGUCCCGCAACGAGCGCAACCCUUAUCCUUAGUAGCCAGCAAGUAAUGUUGGGCACUCUGGGGAGACUGCCAGGGAUAACCUGGAGGAAGGUGGGGAUGACGUCAAAUCAUCAUGCCCCUUAUGAUUUGGGCUACACACGUGCUACAAUGGCGUAAACAAAGGGAAGCAAAGGAGCGAUCUGGAGCAAACCCCAAAAAUAACGUCUCAGUUCGGAUUGCAGGCUGCAACUCGCCUGCAUGAAGCUGGAAUCGCUAGUAAUCGCGAAUCAGAAUGUCGCGGUGAAUACGUUCCCGGGUCUUGCACUCACCGCCCGUC